UUGAAAAUCUUUACACAAAACAGGCUGAAAAGGAGGUUGAAGUUCGAGGCCCUCCUGUUUCAAAAGCAUUUGAUCAUGAAGGAAAUCCAACAAAGGCCAUUGAGGGUUUUUCUCGUAGAUACUCUGUACCACUGGACCUAGUAUUCAGAAAAGUCGAUGG